rnacentral:rRNA from 1 species
AGCGAACGCUGGCGGCAGGCCUAACACAUGCAAGUCGAACGGAUCCUUCGGGAUUAGUGGCGGACGGGUGAGUAACACGUGGGAACGUGCCCUUUGGUUCGGAACAACUCAGGGAAACUUGAGCUAAUACCGGAUGUGCCCUUCGGGGGAAAGAUUUAUCGCCAUUGGAGCGGCCCGCGUCUGAUUAGCUAGUUGGUGAGGUAACGGCCCACCAAGGCGACGAUCAGUAGCUGGUCUGAGAGGAUGAUCAGCCACACUGGGACUGAGACACGGCCCAGACUCCUACGGGAAGCAGCAGUGGGGAAUCUUGCGCAACGGGCGAAAGCCUGACGCAGCCAUGCCGCGUGAAUGAUGAAGGUCUUAGGAUUGUAAAAUUCUUUCAGCGGGGACGAUAAUGACGGUACCCGCAGAAGAAGCUCCGGCUAACUUCGUG